GGAAGAGUGAGCAGGCGAGCGCCCUGUCAAAGUAGAGUAUGUCCCAGCGGGCUUCCAGGGCGAUGACAAGUUUGGAAACCAGGUCGAAUUGCAGAGGAACCGUGGGACUGAGAAGGUGGGGUGAGGGCCCAGGAUCAGAUGACUGUGGAGCCUCUGCCCCUGAGCUGGAGGCCGCGGUUGCGCUGGGUGGUCCCUGGCUGAGCGGGCUGCCUUGGGCGCUGUGUCUCCCCUGCGGGCCGCCAGGCCUCUGCUCUCCGGGGGCCGGUGUCCUCUGCGCUUGCCAUGAAGCAGUCCCAGAGGGAGGCACUGUCAUCACCAUCUCUGUUUUACAGAUGACGAAAUGGUGGCUGACGCGUACUGAGAAGUGGCUUCUGCGCUGUCCUCUGAAGGUCGUGCUCAGUGAUAUCUGUGUGAACAGAGGCACUGGGACAAGAGCCGGGUCUAGCCGUGUCCUCCACCCGGUCGCAGAGGGCCUUCUGAGCCCCCAUCCCUCCUUGGAGGCCUGUGGUCCCUUGAGCUUGGGUCCAGCCUUGUCAUGCCAGGGAGGUGGGAGGGAAUGAGGGGGUCUGAAAGACCGAAGCGUCGGCCACAGUGCUGUCUCCAAGCUCCUGGGUCAGGUUUUUCUGUGACCCCUUUUGCCCUUGUGGCUCAGGCCAGGAGACACUUGUGAUGGUCGAAGUUGCUUGGGCUCCUGCCUGGAGCCCCAAGGCUCUCGCCUCGGCCAUCCUGCACCCACCAGCAAGUGGAACUCUGAAAGUCAAGGCCAGAGUGGACCUGAGAGGUCAUCCUGUUCACUGCCUCUCAGACAUUUUAAAGCACUGAAGCUGUUGAGUUCAAAAUGCAGUGUUACGAGGAACCCCAAUACGUGUGACAGCUAAAAGCUGCUCUGACAGGCGGCCUGCAGACCCCACCUGCUGUGACCAGCUCCUGUCAUCCGGGGGUGCCUAAGCAUUUCCAGAAACCCACUUGGAAGAGCGCGGACACCCCCUCAUGGGGCACAGGAGAGGAGGGUCUCGGGGCAGGGUCUGUGCUGGGGUCAUGUGCUGCUGGAAGCAGCACGUGCCACCUCCACUCGUGCUCCGUGGGGGCCGGGGGUGGUGGCCCUUCCUGUCGCAUACGGGAGCUGCAGAACUCCUCCCCUGGGGAAGAGCUUGUGUUACGCAGUCACUCGAUCCCCGCCUGCUUCUGCGAUGCCCAGGGAAUGGUCGAAGUGAAACCCAAGAGCCCGAGCGGCCGGCCUGUGCCCUAGAUGGCUGUGCUGCCCAGGCAGGUGACCCCUCCGCAGAUCAAUCCAUGGCCCAUGCAGCCUCUGGAGUCUGGGAAGCAUUUCCCCCCAUGCAGACCAGAGCCCGAGGCCCGACCCACAGCCUGAGGCGGCACACAGGACACCGUUGGCACAGGGUAUGCUGGGCCUGGGGGUGGGGGUUCCCAGAGGGAGCUGUCAGCCGAGGUGUGCCCACUUAGCAUCCUCAUUAACGGCCUCUUUAGGGGGCCCCUAAUGAAGUGGAAGGUGUUAAUUCCUCUCGGAGGUGUUGCCAGGAGGUGUUGCCAGCACCCGGGACAAGGAGUCUCCUCUCGGGAAAGCUCUGAGAAGCCGGCCUGAGCAUUGCAGAUGAACUGCCUGGUGGGGGCUCCCAGCAAAUGGCUCACAGGAGAGCAGAGGCCCUGGGGGAGCCUGGGGGUGGGCGGGGGGAGCAUGGGGGAGCGGGAGGAGGCUGGACUGGGCAGUGGGCAUGAGCGGUGGGCCUGUGCCCCUUGGGACUGAGCUGGGAGGGGGCCUACAAUGGGACACCCUGAAAACUCUGAACAGACAGACCUGGGGCAUUCUGGCAGGAGCAAGGCGUGGCCCUGGGCUGGAGGUCCAUGGGCUGAGCUGCCCCUGGGAUGGUGAUGCCCAUCCCACCGGCUUGUGGUGGAUGAAGGAGGAGGGCCAGCGAACCCUCAGCCUUGCGGGUGGGUCUCCUCGGGGAUGCCACCAUCCCUGCCCAAGAAGGUAGGUCAGGGCGUUACGUAGGUUGUCGAGGAUGAAGGCAGGUGUGGCUCAGCCUGGUCCCCAGGGAUAGAGAGCAGGGCCUUUCUCUUUAGGAGGGUUGACUUAGAUGCCAGAGAGACGAGCGUCCCUGCCACUCCUCAGGGGCAGGAACUCGGCGUAGUGAGGAAAAGCUCUGAGCAUCAGGAGAGGUGAUUAGUAAAUAGUAACGAAGCCACUAAUGCUUUCUGUGAGCCGAGAGUCGACAUGCAUUAUUUCAUUUUCUCCGUGUGACUCCCUGUGAAGCUGGUACCUUCAUCAUCCCAUUUUGCAGAUGAGGAAACUGAGGCUCAGAGAAGUGACAGUCACAGACAACGAGAAGUGAUGGAACCAGGAGUCAGCCCCAGGGCUUGGUGGCAGGCAGCCGUGGGCUCACUGGGUGGCCGCCACCACCCAGACGCUCGCCUCUGAGAGGAGGGUUCCAGAGAGCAGGGUAGAGAUGGGUUAGGGCGUGAGGAGACCACAGGGUGGCCUAGGAAGGACUCUGCCCAAAUAGAAGCAGACUGGGGAUGGGUGCCCGCCUGCCCGUGUCCUCCUGCAGACAGGCAGGAGGAAGCAGCCUGGGGCUUGGUGACCCAGGCGGCCAGGCAGCGCCCAUGGGGCCAGCCGAGCCCGCCCCUCCGGGCCGCAGGCACUGGAAUGCGUGUGGGAUGAGGGCCUGUUCCUAGUUUCAGGAAAAUAAAUGGUCUCCAGGGGAGACUCAGAAACAAAACCUGGCCUGGCCGGGACCUGGGGAACCUCUUCCACUGUUGGAAACAGAUCCAUUCUGGCCCAGCCCUGAGGGAGCCCUGGCAUGAAGCCCCCGGAGGGAGGACCUGGGGAGGGCGGUGGGGGGAGGAGGGCGGCCUGGCUGCCAGGGAAGGUCCUGCUGCCCUCCCUCCUGGCCCUCCCUCCUUGUUCCCCGUCCCCAGCCAGCCGCCCUUCCAGAACAACUAGCAGGAAACCAACGGGCCCAAUUGAUUUCCUGGGAGUUGGCUGGUGUCAGUGUCAAGGCCAGUGGCAGAUGGCAAAUUCUGCCUGUUGUAGACGAGUGGAAGAUAAUUAGCGUGAGAACGAGAAGCUGAAGCCCCUGUGAUAGAUGGAGCCCUGAGGAGGGCUCCUCGGGAGGGGCUGGAGCACUCACGGCCUGGCUCUGCCGCUUACCAGCUGAGUGACCUUGGGCAACUUCUUAACUUCUCUGGGCCUCCUUUUCCUCGUCGGUAAAAUGGGGCUAGGAAUAGCACUUGCCUCAUAGGGUUUUAACAAGAUUAAAUAAGAGGAAGUAAUAUCUGUGAACUGCUUGCCACAGGACCUGGCGUGUGGUAAAUGCUGUGACACAGGAGCAGCCGUACACACCCACCGGCUUGUAGUGAGGGGCAUACGAGACACCUCCUCCGAGGCCAUCCCAGGGGGAGGGUGGGGAAGGUGCUUGUCAGUCUAAGACCCUGGGGGCAGAGGGGACCCAGUGGCGGUGGCGUCUCUGUCCUGCCCCCGGCCCUCCCAGGCACGCUGUUUUAGUCCCAGGGCCUGGGCGUGUGGGGACCCGUCUCCUGCUGAAAUCCGGCCCCAGCCCUGGGCAGGCGCGGCUCUGCCUUCUGCUCUGGCACAGCUGAUGCGUGAAAAGCGACAGCUUUCGGGCCCCUAACUUGGGUUGCGCACACCCGGGCACAGGCUGGUGGCGCACGCGGCCCCCAGCCCACGCGUGCUUUCUCUCUGUCACCUCCCUCGCCGCCUUCCCCCUUCCAGGGCCUUCUGCGGACCUGGGAAGGAGAAGGGACAUUGGGGUGGGAGGAGCGUGUGGGUCUUUGUGGCUGUGUGCGUGGGAUGAGGACUCGGACCCACAGCCGGAGAGGUUGUUCCCUUUCAAGUGGCUCCAGGAGGCCCUUGAAGUCCCUGCUCUGCCUCCUUGUUGUGGGAUCUGUAGGCAAGCCAGCACGUCUCCCUGAGCUUGUUUCUUCAUCUCUAGAGCUCGAAAAUACCCCUAUGUCUCGAUGAGGCUGGGACAGGUGACACAAAGUGUCCAGCUCUGUGCCGUCUCGCAGCCCCACAGCCCGCUCACUCAGGACAGACCACGGGACCCCCCUGGGCUCAGUUCUCCUCCUCUGCAGAAUGGGCGACACCCACACCUUCCCCGACCGGGAGUCUGGAGCCCGGGGACUCAGAGCUCUUUGUGGGCCCUGAGGCCCUGCCUCUUCACCCCAUGAGGGGAUGUUCGAGGCCAGCUUCUGGGGUCAGAAACAGGCAUUUAGCAGAAUCCUGCUCCUCAGAACCAGCAUGCAGCGGUUAAGCUGCGGGCUCUGGGACCGGGCUGUGUGACCCAGGCCAAGUCCCUCAGCCCAUCUGUAAAAUGUGGUUACAGCAGUAUGUCCCUCACAGUUGUCAUGAGGAUUAAUGAGCUGUGAUUGUAAAGGGUUUAGGGGAGGCCCAGACGUGGUAGGCAACUGACGAAUGCCAGAGGAGGUGAGUGGCUGGGUCCCCAGCUUGCAGGUGGGCCGAGGUCUCCCCGCCAUCACCCGGAACUGCGCUGCAGUGUCGUGAGCAGUUCUGGUCCUGGGUCAGUCCCUCCUCUGCACGUGCUCUCCACGUGAGCCUCGUAAGCCAGCAGAGAGCUUCACCAGCUCUCUAACUGGCCCCGCAGCUGAGAGUGGAGGAGUCGGGGUUUGAGCGCCCCGGCUAAAAGGCAGGAGGCGGCUGCCAGCCCUGUUGGGCAGGAGAGUGGCCCGUCGGUGAGCCCGCCCUGGCUGAGAUGGAGCCUCUGGCGGCUACCAUGCACCCUGCAGGCUGCCCGGGGCCCAGCUUCACUGCAUCAGUCCCCUGAGUUAGAUGCCCUCGUAAGACUUGACAAGCUCCACUGCCCAACCCAGACACCCUAGGAACCACACAGACCAGGAGGAGCCAGCCGGCCGCAGGUGCCUGUCCCUGUUACCUCUUUGAGAGCUCCUUCUAACUUCAAAGCCUCCUCACAGGGGGAAUCCCGUUCAUCACGGGAGUGGGAGUCCUGGGCCUUCGCCUCCGGCCACCAAGGAUCAAAACACCCUGAAAGAGCCCUUACAGACUCCCCAGAUUCCCUUUUUGCUUUGGCCACCAGGAAGUUCAGUCUAAUGAUAGUUUUCCGUGUAGCUCCUGUGUGGGCCUUUAUGUCUUGCAUGUGUACACCAGAUUCCCCGACUUCCUAUUUUAAUUUAUUUAGUUUUUGUUCUGAAGUUUGUUUGUUUUUAAAUGUAUACUCUACCUUUUCCCUGUUUGUGGGUCCUAUAAGGCACAUGCAGCUGUUGGUUGUGAACACAAAUAAAUACAAAC
ensembl:lncRNA